AUUGAACGCUGGCGGCAGGCCUAACACAUGCAAGUCGAACGAGUGGCGGACGGGUGAGUAAUGUCUGGGAAACUGCCCGAUGGAGGGGGCUAACUACUGGAACCGGUAGCUAAUACCGCAUACCCUCGGCUGUUCCCCGAUGGGAUUCGCUAGUAGGUGGGGUAAAGGCUCACCUAGGCGACUAUCCCUCGCUGGGCUGAGAGGAUGACCAGCCACACUGGAACGUAGACACGGGCCAGACUCCUACGGGAGGCAGCAGUGGGGAAUAGUGCACAAUGGGCGCAAGCCUGAUGCAGCCAUGCCGCGUGUAUGAAGAAGGCCUUCGGGUUGUAAAGUACUUUCAGCGAGGAGGCGUUACUCGCAGAAGAAGCACCGGCUAACUCCGUGCCAGCCGCGGCGGUAAUUC
rnacentral:rRNA from 1 species